GAAAAAGAAAACGAAACCUGUCAGGAUACACACGUCUGUUUUCUACAGUCAUUGUCCAUUGAAGCCAACAGUGAAGUGUGGGCCACCAUUCUGGCUUCCUGCUUUCAAGAUGGAUGCAAAGGACGAGUGGGAGCUUCUGGCUAUGAAAGCUGUUUCAUGGCUCCGUGCUCAGAAUGCACCGCGUGUGACAGAGUGUGUGGAUGCUGGAAAUGUCCUGUUGGGUUGCAGCGUGAGGAAAGAAGCUCUGGGCCUCUGAGGGGUUUCUUAAAGUGGCUUCACCUUCAGGGUGAUCAGAAGCAGAUCUGCGUACACCUUACUGCCUUUGAUCCAGUGCUGUUUUAUGUUACAUACCCUGCUGCUGUUAUGCAGUCAGAAUUGUUAUAUAUUCUUUUUCAUGCUUAGUUCUUAGUGUUAAGAGGCAUUUUGUAUUUUGUGAAUCACUCCCUGUAAACCGGUGUGGGGAACUCCAGGCCUCAAAUGAUUAGUUCAUUACCAGGCCUCUGGAGAACUUCAAGACAAGUUGAGGAUGUAAUUUAGCCAUUUAAAUGAGCUGUGUUGGAUCAAGGACACAUCCAAACCUUGCAGGAAACCGGGCCUUGAGGUCUGGAGUUCCCUACCCCAGCUGUAAACCAAUGCACCUUUCGAGGUCCUCCUUCUUAGUUGCAUUGAGGAUUUUGUGCAC
ensembl:lncRNA